rnacentral:rRNA from 1 species
AGUGAACGCUGGCGGUAGGCCUAACACAUGCAAGUCGAACGGCAGCACAGUAAGAGCUUGCUCUUACGGGUGGCGAGUGGCGGACGGGUGAGGAAUACAUCGGAAUCUACUUUUUCGUGGGGGAUAACGUAGGGAAACUUACGCUAAUACCGCAUACGACCUACGGGUGAAAGCAGGGGAUCUUCGGACCUUGCGCGAUUGAAUGAGCCGAUGUCGGAUUAGCUAGUUGGCGGGGUAAAGGCCCACCAAGGCGACGAUCCGUAGCUGGUCUGAGAGGAUGACCACCCCCACUGGAACGGAGACACGGGCCAGACUCCUAGGGGAGGGCGAGGUGGGGAAAAUUGGCAAAGGGGGGAAAGCCUGAUCCAGCCAUACCGCGUGGGUGAAGAAGGCCUUCGGGUUGUAAAGCCCUUUUUUUGGGAAAAAAAAGGAGCAGGUUAAUCCCCCGCUGUUCUGACGGUACCCAAAAAAAAAGCACCGGCUAACUUCGU